CAUCCACGGCAAGUCGAAUCUCGAAUGGCAUGUAUUUAUAUGGAUUUGAGGUGAACCGACUGAUUCUGCCUUGCUGUCAUAUCAUUGAAGUGUCACGUGCCUAAGGUUUCAGACUUGCAAUGGUUAUGACAGAUUUAGUGAUAGCUGACCAUAUGGCCUGUGACAUUCAACGUGUGGUGGAAAAGAACUUACCUCCAUGGUUGAUGCGUAUUAGUGCCCUAGGCGUCCAACUACAUGAGCUGAUCCAAGUAACAUACUGCUUGGCGGCGUGCUGCGGAAUAGGCCGUGCCUCCUCUUCCCCCCAAUCGCCGCCUCCUCUCCUCCUCCCCGAUCCGCGGCGUACAGAGUAGGCAGGUGGAGCAGCACGACCCCGGGCUCCAGACCGUGCAGAAGAGAUGAGGGGACAGAGGUGGCUCAAGCGGAGGACGACGGGCAUGAGCGAGCGACGGCGCGCGUGGAGGAGGUACGUGUGGUGGCCGGACAAGCGGGCGAGGAUGGCCAGGCCACAACAAGAUUCACCUUCAGGGCCAAAUAAAAGAAGUUUUCUAUUCAUGGUAGAAGCACAGUUUUAUUAGGGAAAUGAUUUCUAUUAUACAAUGAAUUCUUGAGGUACAGGUGGCUCUGAGUGCAUAUAAUCUGUGUUGAUGUAUUUAGCCAUGGCGUUUAUGUCACAUGUAUGGUACAGUCGUAUUCAGCCAAGCUUUGCAGGCUUUUUUUCACUAAUAUCAAGAUAAAGAAGUUGUCCGGCAUGGUCGCUUUAAUACGAAAGAUCGUGUUAAUUUGGUCGAUGCACAAUUGCAGAAGAUAAAGAACUUUUCCGGCAUGUUAGCUUCAAUAAUAAGGAAUAUGACAGAAGCUAUAUUGCUGAAGAUGCCUACGGUUCAACAGCUUAUGAUGAUUUACUUCAGCAGCUUAUGAUGUCUAUGGGAGGUUGGUGCAGUGUGUGACGGGAAGAAAUGAGGUGAAGCUUCUCCCAAUCGUCUGGCGGUGAGGAGGACGCGAGUUGGAGGUGGAUUGAGCUCGAUGGCCAGGAGGGGCCGUUAACUGAUUGGGGAGUUUGGUGCAGCGUGUGAUGGCAGGAAACGAGGGUUGACAAGAUAUCUAAUAUCUGAAUCCAUAAAUCAGGGCUCUAUGUAAAUCCGGAAUGAUGUUUGGUACAUGCCGGGCAAUGGAGAAUCAUUGUUAAAGGUGAUAUUGCAGGCAUCAUCAUGGCCACAUCAAAGGUCCUAAACUCUAGCUAUUUUUUGUUGCUCAUCAUGCCUUGUCUUAUGAAUUAGUAGUGAUCCUGUAAGGCAUGAAUCAACAGGAAAAAUUAUAGAAAGGAAAAUAAUAGCGAGAAGGAGGGUCCACAGCUACUGCCUUCCCCAAGAAGGCCAUCUUUGAGGCUAGAUCAGCAAGGUCACCGUCUACAGAGGACUCAUUUUUUGCCUCACAAUUUCAUUUCUACAGUUGGUGAAGAACCGUUUGGGAUCCUCAUUUUAACUGAAAGUUUCACUAAAUCCAUUAAAGGCUGUCAGGUAUCUUCUAGCUGUGCAGUGAUGUGUUGCAGUAUAGGCUUUUCUUAGCUGAGUUUUAGUUCUAACAUAUAUUGGUUCUAAUGCAACACAGUUUUUAGAAAUGGAGAUUAAUAGUUGCUUUGCUCUUAGAAAUGAUGAUUUAUAUAUUUGUUUCCUGCAAGAUAUUGAAGCCCUAGAACUAUAGGAGUGCAGCUUGCACGAAUAAAUAAGGUUAAUAACCAGUUCCUGCUGCUUUGAUUCUUUGACUAAUAAACAUGCCUGUAAAUGUUUAUUCAUGUCAAAUGCAAGACACGUUUAAGACAGCUCA